rnacentral:lncRNA from 1 species
CAGAGAUCAAAGGACCAGGAGCCCAGGCACAGAACAGAGAUCUCACCACUGAUUGCCACCAGAGCCAUCCAUGAGCUCCUGCUGGAACCCAGUCGGCGGAUGGAGGUGCAGUCCUUCUUCUCCUCCUUGUUCAUGGCCUUGCUGUUCCAGAUCUCCUUUUUGGUGGUUGAAGUGGACACUGAAAUAAGCCAGGAUCAGCAACACAUAGCUGAAUGUGUGGACCCUAUAAGUUCUACCGUGGAGGCCCUGAAGACCUUGAUGCGAAGUUCUGGGUAUGGGGACUAUGUGUCUUCUAUACAGAGACAUGGGGGCUGGUGGCUUCUUGUCAAUCCUGAAAGACACUAUGACGGAGUCACUGUGCUGGCCAGGUGAGCUGCACCUGGGUCCGCGGCUGGAGGGCCAUGCGUUCCCUUGGCCUGCUCCUGCGGCCCAGGCCUUACCUGAACACUGUGCUCUUGUUGGUAGGUCCCUGGUCAUCCAUAACUGUUGGCACAACCGCCCCCUCUUCAGCUCCAUCAUCAGAUUCCUCCAGGACCCAGACUGCAAGAAUCACUUAACGGCCCUUGUGUUCCUGACAGAGCUGCUCCAGUGCCCAGAUGUGGCAGCCUUAGUGGAUGACUUCACCACCCGCAUUCUGGCAAACUGGUUCAAGAGUGAGGAGCCAGCCAUAGUGAAGCCAUUGCUGCAGAUGCUAGAGGUCUUUGCGAAGCAUGAAAACAUGGUAAAAUGGGGCAAGGGCUAAGGGUGUGCUCUCAGGCGAUGUUGUAACCAGGGGAGGUAACAUCUGCUGUGUCCAGUUAUAGAUAGGGUGGGACACACUCUUGGGAUCAAAGAGAGCAAAUCCUCAUGAGGCCAAUGCACCACAGACAGGAGUUGGGGCUUGAGCCAUUCAUGAUUUCUCCCUCUGGGAAAGGUCUCCUGAAGAAGUUUUUUCAUACCACUCUGCCAUCACUGAGGCCUCUUAGGCACAUCUGAGUCCGGCUGGGCAAGCGAUUGAAUGGGGAUAUUUGUGUGGAGAGUCCCACCGGUGAACUCAGCCGUGGUAUUCCUGACAGAGCCAGCUCUGAUUUAGAACAGGG